rnacentral:misc_RNA from 1 species
GGAGCUGGGGGGUCGUGUCCGCCUGAAACCCUC